GACGAACGCUGGCGGCGUGCUUAACACAUGCAAGUCGAGCGGUAAGGCCCUUUCGGGGGUACACGAGCGGCGAACGGGUGAGUAACACGUGGGUGACCUGCCCUCAGCUCUGGGAUAAGCCUGGGAAACCGGGUCUAAUACUGGAUAUGACUCCAUGACGCAUGUUGUGGGGUGGAAAGCCUUGUGCGGCUGAGGAUGGGCCCGCGGCCUAUCAGCUUGUUGGUGGGGUGANGGCCUACCAAGGCGACGACGGGUAGCCGGCCUGAGAGGGCGACCGGCCACACUGGGACUGAGACACGGCCCAGACUCCUACGGGAGGCAGCAGUGGGGAAUCUGGCGCAAUGGGCGAAAGCCUGACGCAGCGACGCCGCGUGAGGGAUGACGGCCU
rnacentral:rRNA from 1 species